GUUCUAAUAUCGAGGUUUUGCCAUCAGAGAUAGGACAAUUGACUCGUCUUCGGUUGUUAGAUCUGGAAAAUUGUCACCAGCUCACAGAGAUUCCACAAGGUGUCAUAUCCAAUUUGUCUCGUCUGGAAGAAUUAUACAUUUUAGAUGAAUUUGGGCAUAGGGAGGAAAGGAGCAAAGUUAAUCACUUUACAGAUUCACAUACCAAAUGUCAUGCUAUUGCCCAAGGACUUCUGCUUUGAAAACUUGAUCAGAUUUAAAAUAUCAAUGGGUAUGGGUACGAAUUAUGGUUUUUAUGGAGCUUAUUCAAAGUGGUGUAAACUUGUGGGUGUUUCCUUAACGGACAAGUUUAUCGUUUUGUUGCGGAGAGCUGAAGCGCUACAUUUGCAAAAAAUUGAAGGUUUACAAGAGGUGCUGCAUGACAGAGGUGGAGAGGGGUCUUUGAUGGAACGUCAUUGACUAAAUCCAUCAGGGUUCUUCAAUAAUUUAAUUCAAUUAAGAAUUCGAGAUUGUAGGUUGAAAUAUCUCUUCUCCCUGUCCUGUGCAAAAGGAUUUCCACGACUUCAGUUCCUGGAAAUAUGGAAUUGUGAAAUGAUGGAAGCAAUAGUUGGAAUUGAAGAAGAAAAAGAUGAAGAUGAACUCUCAAGUCAGGUAAUUUCAGUCAGUUGGAAUAUUUGCGUCUCUGGAAUCUACCCAAGCUCAUAAGCUUCUACACCAAAGUGGAGAAGAUGUCAACAUAUGAAGGAAAUUCUUCUACCCAGGCACAAUUUUUGUUUAAUGAAAAGGUUACAUUCCCUGCCUUGGAGAGUUUGACUAUUGAUGGACUAACAAUGAUAACAAAGAUAUGGGAUAGGAAAUUACUUCCAUUAGAGUCUUUUCGACAAUUGAGAAGCAUGACCAUCCGGAGCUGUGAGAAACUGGUGAAUGUCGGUUUGUCCAUUAUGCCUCGACAAUUACCAAAACUAGAACACCUUCACGUUAGUUAUUGUCAAGAGUUGAAAGUAACAGUAUUAAAGAAUGGGGGGGAAGAAGAAGACAAAGAAGAAAACAACAAUAAUACCAACUCGUUCCUUCAACUAAGGAGUUUGACACUUGAAGAUUUGUAGAGCCUCAAAAGCUUUUUCACCUCUAGAUCUGAAACACAAUCCCUCUUCACUAGCCAGGUUGCUUUCCUAGUCUUGGAUUAUUUGGAAAUUCAGAAAUUGCCCAACAUAAUAGAGAUAUGGGACAAGCAAUUACUCAUAGCUUCAGAAAAAGAAUCAAAGUCCUUCUGCCAACUGAAAGAUAUGACGGUUUCUGAUUGUGAGAAAUUGGUGCAUGUGGUUCAGUUCAAUAUGCUCCCACGACUGCAAAAUCUAAACAUAUUCAAGGUAGAUAAUUGUCCGAAGGUGGAAGUGAUAGUCUCAGAGAAAGAAAAAGAAGAAGGAACCACCAAAAAUGAUAUUAUCGUGUUAUCUCAAUUAACGAAACUUACUCUUCAGAAUUUGAUGAGCCUUAAAAGUUUUUACAACUGGUCUACAAGAUUUGAAGCACAACCCUUGUUCAACAACCAGGUUUCUUUUCCAAGGUUGGAGACACUAAUUCUCAAUAAUUGUGUAAACUCAAAGGAGAUACAUCCUUGGAAUGUUCAAGUUGGCAAAAUAAAUUUAAAAUUCUUGGACGUAGCAAAUCUGAACAAAUUAAUUGUGAGAAAUUGUAGUGAGGUGGCAGAUGUUUUUCAACUUGAGGAGCUAAAUGUUGGAGAAGGACAACAUGUUAGGCCAUUAAUUGAAGUAAGAAUGAUGGAAUUGGAUGCGUUACCUCAGUUGACAUGUUUAUGGAACAAGGAUCCCCAUGGAAUUCUGGGCCUUCAAAUCCUACAAUACCUAACAAUUAAGAAAUGUUACCUCUUGAGAAAUCUAUUCACAUGUUCCACAGCCAUGGCUCUUCAACAACUUAAAGUACUUCAUUUGGAGUCUUGUCCGGUGAUGGAAGAAGUUAUUGCAGCAACAGAGGAUGGCCUCAAGGAAGUGAUUGAUGAUGUGAUUGAAUUCCCAAAGUUGGAGUGGCUAAUACUGAAAGAUCUACCAAACCUCAACAGUUUCUGUAAUGCGAAAUAUAAUUUUAAUUUUCCAUCAUUGCAAAGAGUUGUUUUGAAGAGGUGUCUGAAUAUGCACAACUUUACUUUUGGACAAGUACGCAUGUCACAGAUAUUUGUAAGUACACAUGGCAAUGAUGGCCUUCAAAUAGAAGAUCUCAAUAAGUAUUUAAAAGAACGACUUCUUUUGAAAGGAGAGGAAUGCGCAACUGUGGAUGAAAAUGAUCACCGCUGCGACGAAGUACAGUUCUCCUACCUUAAGCGGCUAUAGGAGUAAAACAGGUAAUUGAUAGAAUCAUUGGCAGCCAGCAAACCUUUUCCCUAUUAGGACACUCUCUGUUACCUUGGUGCAACUUGAGUUCAGUUAUAUAUGAUCGAGUUCAAGUUGCUGAGACUGGAGUAUGCUGGAUUACCCUCCUACAGUCAAUGGCAAACUUAUUGUUUCUUCCAAUAAGUUAAAAAGCAAAAAAAUAAAAAUAAAUUGCAAAACUAUUUAGCUACCUAUAGCUGUAUAAGAAAUGAUAUGUGUGUGUGUGUGAGAGUGUGUGUGUGUGUGUGUGUGUGUGUGUGUGUGUG